rnacentral:rRNA from 1 species
UACGUAGGGUGCAAACGUUGUUCGGAAUCACUGGGCUUAAAGGGCGCGUAGGCGGCUUGCCAAGUCAGGGGUGAAAUCUUUCGGCUCAACCGGAAAAGUGCCUUUGAUACUGGCAGGCUGGAGGGAGGUAGGGGCAUGUGGAACUUCCGGUGGAGCGGUGAAAUGCGUUGAUAUCGGAAGGAACGCCGGUGGCGAAAGCGACGUGCUGGACCUCUUCUGACGCUGAGGCGCGAAAGCUAGGGGAGCAAACGGG